rnacentral:lncRNA from 1 species
UAUGUCCCUCUUUAGGGACACCGUCCUACUCGCUGGGAGACUGUACGCAAAUGCCUUGGUUAACUCUUUUGCCGCUAGGAAUCUCAUUCUGUAUUCCAGGGGAAGUUCUCCUGCCAUGUGGUAAAUAAUCGGGAUUGGGGUGAAAAUGAUUAAGCCUAGUGACUUUCUAAGGAGGUGGUUACAAUGAGAUUUGAUUUUGGCUAGAGCGGAUUUGGACAAGUUGCUGAAAGACGAGCAAGCGUAUUCUAGUCUACUUCUGACAAAGGCUCUAUAAACUAUCAGCCCUCUCUUUGGGCUGAUACCGUAAUGGCACCCACUGAGUAGUCUUAGGAACGCACAGGUUCUGUUUGACUCCGAAAUGGCCUGCUCGAUGUGCACAGAGGCUGAGUUGUUCGCUGAAAUUGUUCUGCCUAGAUAUUUUAUCUGAUCUACUUACCUAAUCUCGACUCCUUGGUGCUCAAAGUUCAGCUCGGUUCUUCGGAUGCUGAAGUGAACCACUUUGGAUUUGGCUGGGUUGAAAGUAAGGUAAAGCCUGUUGCAUCUUGCCUCAAAGCAGUCAAAUGCCCUUUGUAGGUCAAGUCAGGCCGCCACCACCUGAUUCCCUCUCGCCUUCAGAGCCAGGACCUCGUUGAUCAGGUCGUUGAUGCAGAGCGCCGUGGACCUGUUCCUCCUGAAGGCCUAGGAUCUGACCGGCAAAAGCUCGUGCCUUGUAAUAUGUUCGUCCAGCUUUAAUUUUAUCAACCCCUCUAUAGACUUAAACAAGGUGUUUAUUAGGCAAAUAGGUCUGUAGUUUUGGAAGGAAGCGGGUCCGCAUUCUUCUUGGGGAUUGGUACCACCUUGAUUGAGCCUGAGCCAUACCCUGUUUAUAAUUUCAAAGAUGUUAUGUUUUUUCCCCACAGGAAGCUGCUGCAGCAUCCUGAACGAAAUGCCAUCUGGGAAUCUCGCCGAAUUUGGGUUCCUUAAUUUCAGGAAGGGCAGAAAUUCCCCCAUGUCUAAAGGUUCGGGGUCGCCUGGUCCAAUCAGAGGUGGCAUGUUCUCUGGGGGUCUACUGCUUGCAGUGGAGGGGAUGUCUUUGACCAUUUUUAGAAAGCCAUUGACGUUUUCGUCUGUCCAUGUGUUCCCUACGUUUUUGACUUGUCCGUAUUUCUUUAGGUUCUUUACUCUGCUCCACAUGGAGGGCGCAGAGGAAACCUCUUCUGUGAACUUUGAGAAGUUUGACCUUCUGCAAUUUUUGAUCUCAUUUUGCAGGUUGCGGUCGGCCUCUAUAGUGGCCCUGGCAUCCUCAAAUUUUUUGGUGUAAUAGUAUUUUUGCCUGCACGCAUUUCUCACGCGAAAUAGUCUCUCUAUACCCUCGUUCCACAAUUUUGUGGAAUUAUACUUGUUGUUACUGGGAAUGGUAACUGUGUUCUUAUUGGUCAGGGAUUUGACCUUAUUGUUGAGCUCUUGCAGAUUGGCAAAACUGCUUGCUCCUAAAAUACGAUUUAUUCUAUUGUGCAGCACUUUCUUCUCUUGAAUGGAGGCAUCUAAACCUUCGACUGUUAUGACGAUUGGGAAGUGGUUGCUGUUGGUUAUUUUGGAUUUAAGGGCUUGCCAGUCAAUUCUACCGUUCUUGUGAUUGGAAAAGGUGAGGUCAAGAACAGAGAAUUGGGAAGGGUUCCUGGAGAAAGUUGGAG